rnacentral:lncRNA from 1 species
AGGAACGCUCUCCAGUGUGGGUGCGCAGAUGACGUGUCAGGCUGUUAUUCUGAGUGAAUGCUUCCGGGCACAGGUGGCAUUUGAAGGGGCGCUCACCUGUGUGUAUGCGCAGGUGUUGGGUCAUGUGCUUCUUGUGCUUAGUCUUGUAAGUGCACUGACGGCAGCAAUGCAGCCGGCUACAUACAGACACGAGUGAAAGGUACUGCUCACGGGAUGCCAAUCGCAAGGAAUCUGCAAAGUCAGAAGGAGCACAGGAAGUCAAAAUAGCAAUGUGUCAUCUAUUUGAUGGAACUAAAGUACUACAUCUGGCGAUUAAAAAGUGUUGCCACACUUGAAGGCAAGAAACUUGAUAACGUUGGCCU